GGCCGCCUGAGGGGAAGGGGUCCCUAGUACGAGAGGAACGGGACGCCGCGGCCAACAGUCUACCGGUUGUCCGACAGGGCACUGCCGGGCAGCCGCGCCGUUGGGGAUAAGGGCUGAAAGCA
rnacentral:rRNA from 1 species